GACGUAGGGCGCGAGCGUUGUCCGGAUUUAUUGGGCGUAAAGAGCUUGUAGGCGGUUUGUCGCGUCUGCCGUGAAAUUUCGGGGCUCAACCCCGAACUUGCGGUGGGUACGGGCAGACUAGAGUGUGGUAGGGGAGACUGGAAUUCCUGGUGUAGCGGUGAAAUGCGCAGAUAUCAGGAGGAACACCGAUGGCGAAGGCAGGUCUCUGGGCCACUACUGACGCUGAGAAGCGAAAGCAUGGGGAGCGAACAGG
rnacentral:rRNA from 1 species